GCGAUGCAACCAAUGUGG
rnacentral:snRNA from 1 species